rnacentral:snoRNA from 1 species
AGGUCAUUUCAAAGAGAGCUUAUGGGACCAAAACCAGGAGUUCUUAACUCUGUGACCUAAGAUUGAAGAUCUUUAUAGACACUCAAUAGUGCUAUGUUUUCCUGAGGAGUAUAAGG